GUAUAUUAAAGUUGUUGCGGUUAAAAAGCUCGUAGUUGGAUUUCUUCCAGGGGCAGUCGGUCCACACUACGUGUGCGUAUCUGAUUUGACUUUGGAAUCCUCUUGGGGAACAUCUCUGCGCUUAACUGCGUGGAAUGGUAUUCAAGACUUUUACUUUGAGGAAAUUAGAGUGUUCACGGCAGGCAAUCGCCCUGAAUACAUUAGCAUGGAAUAAUAAUAUAGGAUUUCGGUUCUAUUUUGUUGGUUUCUAGAGCUGAAAUAAUGAUUAAUAGGGACACUUGGGGGCAUUCGUAUUAUCACGUCAGAGGUGGAAUUCUUGGAUUGUGUUACGACGAACUACUGCGAAAGCAUUUGCCAAGGAUGUUUUCAUUGAUCAAGAACGAAAGUAAGGGGAUCGAAGACGCUUAGAUACCGUCGUAGUCUUUACCAUAAACUAUGCCAACUAGGGAUUGGAGGGCGUUCUUCAUUCGACUCCUUCAGCACCUUAUGAGAAAUCAAAGUUUUUGGGUUCCGGGGGGAGUAUGGUCGCAAGGCUGGAACUUAAAG
rnacentral:rRNA from 1 species